AAAUGAGACUCCAUCUCAGAAAAAAAAGAAAAAAGAGAGGGAGAUUAGGAAGUGUGUAAUCAGCAUAGCUACAAUGACUGAUCUUUCACCCCUGUCCCAUCUGACAGGUCUUCUGUAAGAGGAUUGAGGUGUGCAUGAGAAGAUAUUAGAAGACUUUAGCUGCCAGAGAAGAUAAUUUGGAAAUCAUCUGCUCCGCCAUUAAUAGAGAGACAGAAUAUCACUGGUGAAAGAGAAAUCACAAUGGGAUCUGAUGGAGAAGGCCACACACAUCUGUAGGUCUUGGAUUUUUUGCUGCAUAGAGUAAUCAGAUGAGAGCUUGGGUGGUCUCCCUUGAUAAGGAGAUGACAUUUGUGGAUCAAUCCUCCUAUCUGCUUCCAGUCAUCACACAUUAGCCUUUUACUCAUGAAGAGUCAAAGCUCUACUGCCUGAAUGAGCCCAGGACACUUGCCUCCACCCAUCCAGUGUUAUCACCUAGGCUCUAACUCUGUUAAAGUCCAUUUCUUCACUACUGAACAUUGGAAAAUGGGUGUGGACGAGUGAGAAAGUCUGGAACAGGAGGAAAAGAAAAGGGAACAGAUUCCUAGAUGUUCCAGCAAGUGGAAACACAGUUGGGAAAACAUGGCUUGGGAAGCAGAGACUUGGAGGAGGAGGAACUGUGUCCCUGGGGAAACCCGUCUUAUUGUGCUCCAACAGGAAAGAACUGAAAAUUGUAUUUGAGAACAAAGACACUAAACUUACCACCAUGCCAAAAGUAGAAGAGAUAUGAGAAACUAAAUGAUCCCCACUUAGUAGGAAGCAUAAUAUUGCAUCAGAAAUAAAAUGGGAAUAAUUAUAGCACCUGCUUUAUUUGCAUUUUGU
rnacentral:lncRNA from 1 species